AGGACGAACGCUGGCGGUGUGCUUCACACAUGCAAGUCGAACGGGGUAGCAAUACAUCACCGGCGGACGGGUGCGUAACACGUGGGAAUAUACCUUUUGGUUCGGAACAACGCAGGGAAACUUGCGCUAAUACCGAAUGUGCCCUUACGGGGAAAGAUUUAUCGCCAAAGGAUUAGCCCGCGUAGGAUUAGCUAGUUGGUGAGGUAAUGGCUCACCAAGGCUCCGAUCCUUAGCUGUUCUGAGAGGAAGAUCAGCCACACUGGGACUGAGACACGGCCCAGACUCCUACGGGAGGCAGCAGUUGGGAAUCUUGGACAAUGGGGGAAACCCUGAUCCAGCCAUGCCGCGUGAGUGAUGAAGGCCUUCGGGUUGUAAAACUCUUUCGGACGGGGACGAUAAUGACGGUACCCGUAGAAGAAGCUCCGGCUAACUUCGCGCCAGCAGCCGC
rnacentral:rRNA from 1 species